GCAGCAGUGCGGCUGCUAAUCUAAAAUAAAAACAGCAGGAAAUGCAAAUGGUCAGGUUCUCCUAGCAACAGGAGCCAACCCACGCAGGGCGUGUGGAGCAGAGCAAAACUGUCCUGAGGCUGAGAUGGGACUUCACCUCUGUGUGGCUCCAGUGGCAUGCCCAGAACACUCCAGAGUACCCUCAGUCCUGGUCUCAUGCUGCUGCACCCUUGCUGGUGAAGGCCAGAGUAAGUGGUCAGUUGAUGGAUGGAUGAAGGAACACGGGCUUUGGUAUUUACAACUGGACCCAAGUUCUAGCUCAAGAACUGUGUGACCUUUGGCAACUUACUCAACCUGGAUCGAACUCAUGACUUUGUACUUACCAGGCAUGCACUUAAGACACUGAGCUAAAUCCUCGACCCACUUUCAAUAUUUUCAGCUUAUGGGCUCACAGCUAGGAGUUUGCCUUUAGGCUCAGAGGAGAAUUUGGACUUGGAAUUUUCAGAAAUACUGGAACUGUUAAGACUUUGGAAACUUUGUGGUGGACUAACAACAUUUGGAUAAUGAGAUUGAAAAUGAGUCUUUUGAGGGCCAGAGAUGGAAUGUUAAUAUGACGGCUCAGAUCUAGAUCUAGAAUUUCCCCCAAGAACAUCAUGUGUCUCUCCGUGGGACUUUAGGAAGGCGCCUGGGUCAUGGUAGCACCAAGGCUGACUUGGUGUCAGGAGGUGGAGUCUGGUGAGAGGCAGCUCACUGUGGGGGAAGACCUGGAAGAGUCUCGCUCCUUCCCCAAUUCCUUUUCUCUCUCUCUACUUCCUGGCUUCCACGAUGUGAGCAGCUUUUCUCUUCCAGACCCCUCCAUCACACUGUUUCUGCCUGGGAGCCAGCCCACCAGGGACUGCAACCAUGAACCAAAAUAAACCCCUCCUUCAAGAUGUAGGUAUCAAGUAUUAGGUUUCAUCAGCUACAGGGGAGCACUGUAGGGCAAGGACUGUGAGCUUAUAGGUCUUUUAAAUCUGAAACCCGUGUCCUUUAGUUCUGGGACCAUUUCUUGAAUCAUUUCAUUAUUAAUGUAUAGUAUUGUUUCUGUAUUGCCUUUUAAAUUCUUUUGGAUAUAUUCUAUAUCCUUGUUUUUGAGACAGGGUAUUAUUGUGUUGCCCAGUCUGGUCUCAAAUCUGUGAAUUUCAGCAAUCUUCCUGCCUUACUUCCCUGAGUAACUGAGAUUACAGGUGUGUAACCAUGCCCAGAUUCUACUAUUUUCUCAUUUUUUCCUCCUAAACUUCAUCUGAGUUUUAUUUUAAUAAUCUUUUAAAAUGGUGAUAUGCUUCAUGUAACAUAAAGUUCUCCAGUGGUUUUUAGUACUUUUACUAUGUUGUGCAAUAGUACCACCAAUGCCAGAUACCAUCACCCUGAAAAGAAACCUGUAUCCAUUAGCAGUUAGCCCAAAUUUUCCUUACUUCUACUCCUUGACAGACACUAAAUUAUCUUCUGAUUUUAUGGAUUUCUAAACAUUUAAUAUAAAUGAAAUCAUGCUGUAUGUGUUCUUCUGUGUCUGGAUUUUUUCAUUUAGCAGGAUGUGUUUAAGAUCAUCUAUGUUCUAGCAUGCAGUAAUACUUUAUUCCUUUUUAUGGUUGAAUAACAUUCCAUUGUAGGGCUGUUAUACAUUUUGUUUAUCCAUUGAUGAACUAAUAAACAUUUUACUUGUUUCUA